UCUUGAUAACAGAUCAUAAAGCAAACAUGACUUUAAUAGCCAUCAUUAUUUGGACACUCACAACCUGCACCUGGAGUUCUGUGGGACAGAUUCUGACUCAAUCUGCAAACCAAACAGUGAAUCCUGAUCAGACUGUCACUAUUCACUGUAAUCAUAAACCAAAAGUUAACAGUUUUAAAAAAGAUACCACUCAAUACAGCAUGGCCUGGUACCAUCAGAUUCCUGGAGAAGCUCCUAAACUCCUGAUCUAUCCGACAGAGCUUCAGGUGUUUCUUCUAGAUUCAGUGGCAGUGAAAGUGGAAACCACAUGGAUUUUACUCUGGCCAUCAGUGGAGUCCAGCCUGAAGAUUCAGGAGUUUAUUACUGUCAGAGUAAACACAGUAUGA